AAAAGUUGAGUUUGGUGAUGGCUCUGAUUGAAUGCUGUUCAAGUGCUUGACACAUGCUAAUCGUACGUUUUAAUUAUAAAUGGACAAGGGUCCAUCGGGCUUGCUUCCCUAUCAAGUUUGCAAAUAUAAUUAAAAAGUGGUGUACAGGUGAGUAUAUAGAUAUUCUUGGCCGUCCUUAAAGUGAAGGUAAAUCCUUCAUAAUAAAUAAAGGGAGGCGUAUCACCCGCUUUAAGAGGAUAAUAAAUAUCUUCGAGAUAGGUAGUAGUUAAGGUGAUGGCUUAACUAGCCUAAAACUCUCGUAGUCGAAUCUGAAAGGUUGAUCGACCACAUUGGGUCUGAAAAAACCCCAAUGCAAUUUAGUACAGCAGUGAGGAAUAUUGGUCAAUGGCCUAACGGCUGAACUGGCAACUUGAAGAAGCAAGAUAAAUUUUUAGGGUUGAUUCUAUUAUAUUAAUAAAUAUAAUAUUCCCAGGUUGUGUAGUUUAUAUUAGCUUUGUUUAUAUAUAGAUAAUGACAGUAUAUAUAUCCAGUCUUGACUAAUUACGUGCCAGCAGUCGCGGUAAUACGUAAGAGACUAGUAUUAUUCAUCUUAAUUAGGUUUAAAGGGUACCUAGACGGUCAAUAUAGCUUCUAUGAUGUUAGUACUUGACUAGAGUUUUAUGUAAGAGAGUAGUACUUAAGGAGUAGACAUGAAAGUCUGUAAUACCCUAGGGACUCGGUAAAGGCGAAGGCAGCUCUCCAUGUAAAAACUGACGUUGAAGGACGAAGGCUCAGAGCACAAAUAGGAUUAGAUACCCUAGUAGUCUUUGCAGUAAAUGAUGAAUGCCAUAGGUCAGAUUAAUAUUUAAUAAUUUAUGUUUAUCAGUAUGGAACUAAAUAUUAAACAAAUUUUGGUCUAUAAAUGAAAGUGUAAGCAUUUCACCUCAAGAGUAAUGUGGCAACGCAGGAACUGAAAUCACUAGACCGUUUCUAACACCAGUAGUGAAGUAUGUUGUUUAAUUCGAUAAUCCUCGAAAAACCUUACCACAAUUUGUAUAAUAAUAUUACAGGAGUUGCACGGCUGUUUCCAGUUAAUGUUGUGAAACUGUGGUUUCCAUGAAAUUAACGAAAUCCCUGGCUUUAUUUUUUGA
rnacentral:rRNA from 1 species